UUUAAAUGUCAAGUUUUUUAGAUUGUGGUUUUAUUUUUUAUUUAUAACUAAUUUUUAAUUAAAAAUCUUUGUCUGCAUCAAUUAACAGGUUAUAAUUGUUUGUGAAACGUUUUUGCUGGGUUAUAAAGAAGAAUUACGUAAUAAAACGCGCGCUAGUUGACACCGUUGAUGACCCGGGCAAACACAGCGGUAGUAACCGGCAUGAAACAAAACGGUCUUUUCUUGGGAGAGGAAUAAAACGAUCUUUACAGGUGCACGAACCUGCCACACCGUGCUUAGGUACCUUCCUCUACUUAAAAAAAGGUUUAAACCCGACCGCACAAGAAAGAAGAAAGAACCAAGUUAGAAAAUGACUCAUUCUUAACUUUAGAGAAUGGGUUCUAACGUGAGAUCUCAAAGAAUCGCCUCACCGAGCAAAAAUGAUCCAUAUUUUGCGUUCCAAGAAUAAAUUUCAAAUCAACCGUGAGAAAAUAACUAAACUUUUUUGUUGUUGUUUGAUGAAAUAGAAGAAUUUGAAUAUAAAAAGUUUGUGGUUAUUAUAAUAGAUGUUAAAGUGGCGUUUAAUGGGUCAGCUUCUUCAAGAAAUCUGGGACGUCUUCUCAAAGCUACGCCGGUUCGUUUAAAACUGACUCAGCACCGAACAACACCGCCGACGAAGAAAAGAGGAGGUAAAGGAGAAGGAGGAGGAGGUAGUAGGAAAAGAUGUUAGGUUGCGGCACAAUACAAAAGAAAUUUUUAUGGUUUUAAAAGCGAACAAGUGGAACUACCGCGUGAUCAUAACAAAAAUAUAUUACUUUGAACC